AGAUCCUUGGCCAAACAACGCGGAUUGCAGUUCAUUUCAAAGUGGUCUCCACAUCAAUAAAUGGAAUCUCCAUUCAUCUGGUUGCUUUGCUCAAAACCCCAAAGCACCAUGCUAGUUUCCUCCCUGCUCCCAGAUCAUUAGAGUGUCACAUAAUUUGAAGCCCUGCUACAUGAUGAUCCUGCUGUCUUCAUCCUCCUACCCACAACCCAAGUUUUACUCUUGUCGUCCCGGCUGGAGUACAAUGGUGCAAUCUUGGCUCACUGCAACCUCCACCUCCUCGGUUCAAGCGAUUCUCCCGCCUCAGCCUCCCAAG
rnacentral:lncRNA from 1 species